UAGGGAAUCUUCCGCAAUGGACGCAAGUCUGACGGAGCAACGCCGCGUGAGUGAAGAAGGAUUUCGGUUCGUAAAACUCUUUUUUUAGAGAAGAACAGCGCAUAGAGUAACUGUUAUGCGUGUGACGGUAUCUAACCAGAAAGCCACGGCUAUCUACGUGCCAGCAGCCGCGGUAAUACGUAGGUGGCAAGCGUUGUCCGGAUUUAUUGGGCGUAAAGCGAGCGCAGGCGGUCAAUUAAGUCUGAUGGGAAAGCCCGCGGCUCAACCGGGGAGGGUCAUUGGAAACUGGUUGACUUGAGAGCAGAAGAGGAGAGUGGAAUUCCAUGUGUGGCGGUGAAAUGCGUAGAUAUAUGGAGGAACACCAGUGGGGAAGGCGACUCUCUGGUCUGUAACUGACGCGGAGGCUCGAAAGCGUGGGUAGCAAACAGG
rnacentral:rRNA from 1 species